UACAGAGAGUGCAAACGUUGUUCGGAAUUACUGGGCUUGAAGCGCACGUAGGCGGCGUUGUAAGUGUCGGGUGAAAUCCCACGGCUCACCCGUGGAACUGCCCGGCAUACUGCGAUGCUAGAGUGUGGUAGGGGAGAGCGGAACUCCUGGUGGAGCGGUGAAAUGCGUAGAUAUCAGGAGGAACACCGGUGGCGAAGGCGGCUCUCUGGUCCACAACUGACGCUGAGGUGCGAAAGCUAGGGGAGCAAAUGGG
rnacentral:rRNA from 1 species